rnacentral:rRNA from 1 species
CCUACGGGAGUCAGCAGUGGGGAAUAUUGCACAAUGGAGGGAACUCUGAUGCAGCGACGCCGCGGGAGUGCAGAAGUAAUUCGUUAUGUAAAGCUCUAUCAGCAGGGAAGAAAGUGACGGUACCUGAAAAAGAAGCUCCGGCUAAAUACGUGCCAGCAGCCGCGGUAAUACGUAUGGAGCAAGCGUUAUCCGGAGUUACUGGGUGUAAAGGGAGAGUAGGUGGAAAGUCAAGUCCGAAUUGAAACCCCAAAGCUCAACUAUGGGAAUGCUUUAGAAACUGCUCAGCUAGAGUGCAGGAGAGGCAAGUGGAAUUCUUAGUGGAGCGGUGAGAUGCGUAGAGAUUAGGAGGAACACCAGUGGCGAAGGCGGCUUGCUGGACUGUAACUGACACUGAGGCUCGAAAGCGUGGGGAGCAAACAGGAUUAGAUACCCCUGUAGUC